CGCGGCCUAUCAGCUUGUUGGCGGGGUAAUAGCUCACCAAGGCAUCGACGGGCAGCUGGUCUGAGAGGACGAUCAGCCACACUGGGACUGAGACACGGCCCAGACUCCUACGGGAGGCAGCAGUAGGGAAUCUUGCACAAUGGGCGAAAGCCUGAUGCAGCGACGCCGCGUGGGGGAUGAAGGCCUUCGGGUUGUAAACCCCUUUCAGUAGGGACGAAAAUGACGGUACCUACAGAAGAAGGUCCGGCCAACUACGUGCCAGCAGCCGCGGUAACACGUAGGGACCAAGCGUUGUCCGGAAUUAUUGGGCGUAAAGAGCUCGUAGGUGGUUCCGUAAGUCGGAUGUGAAAACUCAAGGCUCAACCUUGAGACGCCAUCCGAUACUGCGGUGACUUGAGUUCGGUAGAGGAGUGUGGAAUUCCUGGUGUAGCGGUGAAAUGCGCAGAUAUCAGGAGGAACAUCGACAGCGAAGGCAGCACUCUGGGCCGAUACUGACACUGAGGAGCGAAAGCAUGGGGAGCAAACAGGAUUAGAUACCCUGGUAGUCCAUGCCGUAAACGUUGGGCACUAGGUGUGGGGAUUUAUCAACGAUCUCCGCGCCGUCGCUAACGCAUUAAGUGCCCCGCCUGGGGAGUACGG
rnacentral:rRNA from 1 species